rnacentral:rRNA from 1 species
UACGUAGGUGGCAAGCGUUGUCCGGAUUUAUUGGGCGUAAAGGGUGCGCAGACGGUUUGUUAAGUCAACUGUUAAAUUUCCCGGCCUAACCGGGAGCAAGCAGUAGAUACUGGCAUUCUAGAGGAUGGAAGAGAGAAGUGGAAUUCUCGGAGUAGCGGUAAAAUGCGUAGAUCUCGAGAGGAACACCGAUGGCGAAGGCAGCUUCUUGGUCCAUUCCUGACGUUCAUGCACGAAAGCGUGGGGAGCAAACAGG